GAAGGAUGAUAAAGACUAUGCUUUAAAACAAAUAGAAGGAACUGGGAUCUCUAUGUCGGCAUGUAGAGAAAUAGCAUUACUUCGAGAGCUUAAGCAUCCAAACGUCAUUUCUCUUCAAAAGGUGUUUCUGUCUCAUGCUGAUAGGAAGGUGUGGCUUCUGUUUGACUAUGCUGAACAUGACCUCUGGCAUAUAAUCAAGUUUCACAGAGCUUCUAAAGCAAACAAGAAGCCAGUUCAGUUACCUCGGGGAAUGGUGAAGUCACUAUUAUAUCAGAUCCUAGAUGGUAUUCACUACCUGCAUGCUAACUGGGUGUUGCACAGAGAUUUGCUGACAUGGGCUUUGCCCGAUUAUUUAAUUCACCUUUGAAGCCUUUAGCAGAUUUGGAUCCAGUGGUUGUUACAUUCUGGUACCGAGCCCCUGAACUACUUCUUGGAGCAAGGCAUUAUACCAAAGCUAUUGAUAUUUGGGCUAUAGGGUGUAUAUUUGCAGAACUACUAACGUCAGAACCAAUAUUUCACUGUCGACAAGAGGACAUCAAAACUAGUAAUCCUUAUCACCAUGACCAGCUGGACAGAAUAUUCAAUGUAAUGGGAUUUCCUGCAGAUAAAGAUUGGGAAGAUAUAAAAAAGAUGCCUGAACAUUCAACAUUAAUGAAAGAUUUCAGAAGAAAUACGUAUACCAACUGCAGCCUUAUCAAGUAUAUGGAAAAACAUAAAGUUAAACCAGAUAGUAAAGCAUUCCACUUGCUUCAGAAGCUGCUUACCAUGGACCCAAUAAAGCGAAUUACCUCAGAACAGGCUAUGCAGGAC
rnacentral:lncRNA from 1 species